AUUGAACGCUGGCGGCAUGCUUUACACAUGCAAGUCGAACGGCAGCACGGGUGCUUGCACCUGGUGGCGAGUGGCGGACGGGUGAGUAAUACAUCGGAACGUGUCCAGAAGAGGGGGAUAACGCAUCGAAAGAUGUGCUAAUACCGCAUAUACUCUAAGGAGGAAAGCAGGGGAUCGAAAGACCUUGCGUUUUUGGAGCGGCCGAUGUCUGAUUAGCUAGUUGGUGAGGUAAAGGCUCACCAAGGCGACGAUCUGUAGCGGGUCUGAGAGGAUGAUCCGCCACACUGGAACUGAGACACGGUCCAGACUCCUACGGGAGGCAGCAGUGGGGAAUUUUGGACAAUGGGCGCAAGCCUGAUCCAGCCAUGCCGCGUGAGUGAAGAAGGCCUCGGUUGU
rnacentral:rRNA from 1 species